rnacentral:rRNA from 1 species
UACAGAGGGGGCCAGCGUUAUUCGGAAUUAUUGGGCGUAAAGGGCGCGUAGGCGGCCAUGCGUGUCUUCCGUGAAAUCCCUCGGCUUAACUGAGGACGUGCGGAAGAAAACUGCAAGGGCUCGAGUCCGGGGAGAGGGGGGGUGGAAUUCCUGGUGUAGCGGUGAAAUGCGCAGAUAUCGAGGAGGAACACCGGGUGGCGAAGGCGGGUCUCUGGACAGUUCCUGACGCUGAGGCACGAAGGCCAGGGGAGCGAACGGG